rnacentral:misc_RNA from 1 species
GAUGAAGAACGUAGCGAAAUGCGAUACUUGGUGUGAAUUGCAGAAUCCCGUGAACCAUCGAAUCUUUGAACGCAAGUUGCGCCCGAAGCCAUUAGGCCGAGGGCACGCCUGCCUGGGCGUCACACGUCGUUGCCCCCCCAUCUACUCCUUCGGGAUUGCGGGGGGCGGAUGAUGGCCUCCCGUGCGCCUCGUCGCGCGGUUGGCAUAAAUGCCAAGUCCUCGGCGACGCACGCCACGACAAUCGGUGGUUGCGAAACCUCGGUUGCCCGUCGUGUGCGGUCGUCGCGCAUCGAGGGCUCGAAAAAAUUGCCGGGCUCCGGCUCGGCUUUCAACGCGACCCCAGGUCAGGCGGGGUUACCCGCUGAAUUUAAGCAUAUCAAUAAGCGGAGGA